AGAUUAAGUUAUUAAGGGCGCACGGUGGAUGCCUUGGCACUAGAAGCCGAUGAAGGACGUUACUAACGACGAUAUGCUUUGGGGAGCUGUAAGUAAGCUUUGAUCCAGAGAUUUCCGAAUGGGGAAACCCAGCAUGAGUUAUGUCAUGUUAUCGAUAUGUGAAUACAUAGCAUAUCAGAAGGCACACCCGGAGAACUGAAACAUCUUAGUACCCGGAGGAAGAGAAAGAAAAUUCGAUUCCCUUAGUAGCGGCGAGCGAAACGGGAAGAGCCCAAACCAACAAGCUUGCUUGUUGGGGUUGUAGGACACUCUAUACGGAGUUACAAAGGACGACAUUAGACGAAUCAUCUGGAAAGAUGAAUCAAAGAAGGUAAUAAUCCUGUAGUCGAAAAUGUUGUCUCUCUUGAGUGGAUCCUGAGUACGACGGAGCACGUGAAAUUCCGUCGGAAUCUGGGAGGACCAUCUCCUAAGGCUAAAUACUCUCUAGUGACCGAUAGUGAACCAGUACCGUGAGGGAAAGGUGAAAAGCACCCCGGAAGGGGAGUGAAAUAGAACCUGAAACCGUGUGCUUACAAGUAGUCAGAGCCCGUUAAUGGGUGAUGGCGUGCCUUUUGUAGAAUGAACCGGCGAGUUACGAUUUGAUGCAAGGUUAAGCAGUAAAUGUGGAGCCGUAGCGAAAGCGAGUCUGAAUAGGGCGUUUAGUAUUUGGUCGUAGACCCGAAACCAGGUGAUCUACCCUUGGUCAGGUUGAAGUUCAGGUAACACUGAAUGGAGGACCGAACCGACUUACGUUGAAAAGUGAGCGGAUGAACUGAGGGUAGCGGAGAAAUUCCAAUCGAACCUGGAGAUAGCUGGUUCUCUCCGAAAUAGCUUUAGGGCUAGCCUCAAGUGAUGAUUAUUGGAGGUAGAGCACUGUUUGGACGAGGGGCCCCUCUCGGGUUACCGAAUUCAGACAAACUCCGAAUGCCAAUUAAUUUAACUUGGGAGUCAGAACAUGGGUGAUAAGGUCCGUGUUCGAAAGGGAAACAGCCCAGACCACCAGCUAAGGUCCCAAAAUAUAUGUUAAGUGGAAAAGGAUGUGGCGUUGCCCAGACAACUAGGAUGUUGGCUUAGAAGCAGCCAUCAUUUAAAGAGUGCGUAAUAGCUCACUAGUCGAGUGACACUGCGCCGAAAAUGUACCGGGGCUAAACAUAUUACCGAAGCUGUGGAUUGUCCUUUGGACAAUGGUAGGAG
rnacentral:rRNA from 1 species